UGGGGAAUAUUGCACAAUGGGGGAAACCCUGAUGCAGCGACGCCGCGUGGAGGAAGAAGGUCUUCGGAUUGUAAACUCCUGUUGUUGAGGAAGAUAAUGACGGUACUCAACAAGGAAGUGACGGCUAACUACGUGCCAGCAGCCGCGGUAAAACGUAGGUCACAAGCGUUGUCCGGAAUUACUGGGUGUAAAGGGAGCGCAGGCGGGAGAACAAGUUGGAAGUGAAAUCCAUGGGCUCAACCCAUGAACUGCUUUCAAAACUGUUUUUCUUGAGUAGUGCAGAGGUAGGUGGAAUUCCCGGUGUAGCGGUGGAAUGCGUAGAUAUCGGGAGGAACACCAGUGGCGAAGGCGGCCUACUGGGCACCAACUGACGCUGAGGCUCGAAAGUGUGGGUAGCAAACAGGAUUAGAUACCCUGGUAGUCCACACCGUAAACGAUGAUUACUAGGUGUUGGAGGAUUGACCCCUUCAGUGCCGCAGUUAACACAAUAAGUAAUCCACCUGGGGAGUACGACCGCAAGGUUGAAACUCAAAGGAAUUGACGGGGGCCCGCACAAGCAGUGGAGUAUGUGGUUUAAUUCGACGCAACGCGAAGAACCUUACCAAGUCUUGACAUCCCUUGACGAUACUGGAAACAGUAUUUCUCUUCGGAGCAAGGAGACAGGUGGUGCAUGGUUGUCGUCAGCUCGUGUCGUGAGAUGUUGGGUUAAGUCCCGCAACGAGCGCAACCCUUAUGGUCAGUUACUACGCAAGAGGACUCUGGCCAGACUGCCGUUGACAAAACGGAGGAAGGUGGGGAUGACGUCAAAUCAUCAUGCCCUUUAUGACUUGGGCUACACACGUACUACAAUGGCGUUAAACAAAGAGAAGCAAGACCGCGAGGUGGAGCAAAACUCAGAAACAACGUCCCAGUUCGGACUGCAGGCUGCAACUCGCCUGCACGAAGUCGGAAUUGCUAGUAAUCGUGGAUCAGCAUGCCACGGUGAAUACGUUCCC
rnacentral:rRNA from 1 species